GAUGAACGCUGGCGGCGUGCCUAAUACAUGCAAGUCGAGCGAACAGAUACGGAGCUUGCUCCUUUGACGUUAGCGGCGGACGUGUGAGUAACACGUGGAUACCGUACCUAUAAGACUGGAAUAAUUCCGGGAAACCGGCGCUAAUGCAGUAUAACAUGUUGCACCGCAUGGUUCUACAGUGAAAGGCGGCUUUGCUGUCACUUCUAGAUGGACCCGCGCCGUAUUAGCUAGUUGUUGGGUUAACGGCUCACCAAGGCAACGAGUCGUGGACGACCGGAUAGGGUGAUCGGCGACAUGGGAACUGAGACACGGACCAGACUCCUGCGGGAGGCAGCAGUAGGGAAUCUGCCGCAACGGGCGAAAGCCUGACGGAGCAAGGCCGCGUGAGUUAUGAAGGUCCUCCGAGCGUAAAACCCUGUUAUGAGUUAAGAACAAAUGCGUAAGUAACUGUGCGCGUAUUGACGGUACUUAAUCAGAAAGCAACGGCUAACUACGUG
rnacentral:rRNA from 1 species